CCAAUAGCGUAUAUUAAAGUUGUUGCAGUUAAAAAGCUCGUAGUUGAAUUUCGGGGUCAGUAGGUCGGUCGUGCCACUGGUAUGAACUGGUUUUACUGAUUCCUCCCUCUUGAAGAACUGUAAUGCCAUUAAUUUGGUGUUGCAGGGAAUCAGGACUGUUACUUUGAAAAAAUUAGAGUGUUUAAAGCAGGCUUUAGCUUGAAUACAUUAGCAUGGAAUAAUGAAAUAGGACGUUUGAUCCUAUUUUGUUGGUUUCUAGGAUUGACGUAAUGAUUAAUAGGGAUAGUUGGGGGCAUUAGUAUUCAAUUGUCAGAGGUGAAAUUCUUGGAUUUAUUGAAGACUAACUACUGCGAAAGCAUUUGCCAAGGAUGUUUUCAUUAAUCAAGAACGAAAGUUAGGGGAUCGAAGACGAUCAGAUACCGUCGUAGUCUUAACCAUAAACUAUGCCGACUAGGGAUCGGAUGAUGUUAAUUUUUUAAUGACUCAUUCGGCGCCUUACG
rnacentral:ncRNA from 2 species